rnacentral:tRNA from 1 species
GUCUUCAUGGUGUAAUGGUAGCACACUUGUCAUGUAUUCGAGAGGUCCAGGUUCAAAUCCUGGCGAAACA